GGGACUGGUGCCACUAUGAAAGUGCACACUUUAUGAGAUUGGGGUGUAUGCCCAGGGACAGGCAGAGAUGGUAGCUAAGAAGAGGCUGCCCAGAGGGUGAGGGGCAGGACGUUAGACCAGCAUUACCUUCCUCACAGCGUUACUUGGGGCUGGGUGCAUGACCACAUCCCUCUCAGCAUCAAGGAAGAUGACUGUGGAAAUAAGUGUAAACCUUGAAUACUGUGAGAGAUCCUAUAGGACUACUGAAGUUCAUAACAGGAGAGAACUGGCAUCUUGAGCACCUAUUAGGUGUCGGGCACUAAGCUGGAGGUUUUAUGUACAUUCUGUCAUUUAACUCUCACAACACCUUAUCAUUUUCCAUUAUCAUACCAUUAUCAUGUACAAAUGUGGAAACAGGCUCAUGACUGUAAACGACUGAACCAUAUAGCUAAUACGUAGAAAGAGGCUUUAUCCAUUGAGCUCUCAGUACAGAAUAAGACUAGAUUAGAGAGGCUCAGAGGUGCCAAACAUAUACAUGCUUGUAUCAACUUUUUAUAAAGUGAAUUACAUAAAAGACAGGGAGGUAGAUGGCUAUUAUUUAAACGCUGUGACUACUUUCAUGAAACAAAGAUUAGUUUAGUAAAAACCAUGACCUCCCUAAUUUAUUGUAGAAAUUUAGAUGUCCGGUUGAAUAUGUCAGCUUGAAGUAGAUCAAGCCGCUCUUCUACUUACUUAUCUAAAUAUGCUUUGGAUUAUGAGGUUUUCUUUUGCAAUGACCUGACUGUGAUUUUGUUAAUAAUAAUGCAAAUGUUUAUGUAAUUUGAUUAAUGCUAAUUUUUUGAUAGAAUAAAAAUAUGAAGGAUGAUGACCUCUCCAUGAAACAAAAUGGAAAUGAUCUAUCACAAGUAAAUCUCAGCCAACAUGCUAAUGGGCCUCUCAAGCAGAUACAAGAGACAGGGUACAACUAUGCAAUGACCCUACAACUGCUGGGCUUGGAUGACAGCACUGAGCCCAGUGAUAGGAAUCCCGUCCUGAUGAGAGGGGCCUACUUGUCUUUUCUGUAUCUGCACCACCUUCGAAUCAGAGAACUGCAGCGCAUCUGCUUAGGAAUUCUGAAUUAUUUCAGAUCUGUUGAACGAACCCUGACAAUCAACACUUCGGGCCUUACUUUGGUUUCAGGGAAACUGGUCCCCACCAUGGAAGAUAGUUCCUGGGUAAAUAUGGCAAAAGGAGGUCUGGGCACCUUGCAGGGCCUGGGCGCUCACCACUAUGUCCAUGAGACGCCUGCUGAGCACAAGGUCCACGGCAUCCAAUUCAUGGAGUUCUCGGAAGUGGAGAACCAGGAUGACUACUACAGCACAGAAGCUGGCUGUAUCCACACCCAGGACCAGCAAGGGGUGCAUGUCAUGUAUGAGGAAGCCUUGAGUGAUCUCAAGGAACUAGAGGCAGAGUUGCUGCUUGUGGCUAGCCAUUACAUUGAGAAAGAAAG
rnacentral:lncRNA from 1 species